rnacentral:lncRNA from 1 species
GGAAAGGGGAUGCUGAGGAGAAGGAGUUACUGGGAGAACAUCCCAUCUGGCACAGUAAGACAGCGAUUCUGGAAAGCAGCCCCAGUGAACCCAGGCAGCAACACCCGUUUCAGGCACCCUGGAGGCAAGAGAACGGUGCAGGAAGUGUUGGGUCCAUGCCAAUGACUCUCCUGGCCUACUGGACUGCUUCUCCUGGGAGAAGAACUGUCCAUUUGUGUUCUCACUGUAGAGAUGUGAAGGUCAACCUGGGUCUCAUCGAAGUGGAAACCCUGGCUGUGGCUUCCUAAGGCCUGCCCCUCUGCGUGGCCCAGGGUGCAGUGCUGGCUCACUAGACACUCCUCAGGAACUCAGUCCUCCCAGACUCUUUGGGGAGCACUCGCUCAGCACCACACUCCCGCCGGACCCCCAAGAGGAUCAACGGGGGAGGAACCCACCCUGCCCUGCUGGGGAGCAAGGGAGGCCAGCCAGCAGGCAGACUAACACAGCCACUUGAUGUUCCAGGGCAAGAUGAAGAGGAUGGUCAGGACACCGUGUGUGGGGGGGAGCAGUCACAGAGCGUUCGUCAGGAACCACAGAAACCACAGGUCAGGGAUGGGGCCAGAGAUGCUAGUGAAGACUCUGAACCCAAGUGUCAGUUGGUUGGGACUGGGGGUGUGGUUCAGAGUAAAGAGGGGGCAAGCCAAAGCUCCCAUGCGUUGUCCUUGUGUAGUGUCCAGAUGGUGGAAAGCAGAGCUCAGGCUGGCCAGACUCCCAGCAAGCCAGUGCAGAGUGGGACAGAGGCCUGGGACAGGCUGGUGCCCCCUGGAGGCAGGCAGUGUGGCCGGCAGCAUAGGCUGAGCUGAGCAGGGUGCUGAAGGCUGAGAAGUCCCUGGUAGCUUUCCCAGAAAGCAGCCAGGCAAUUGGGGAACUCGGGAACCUGGCGAGGGAAACUUGAUUGAGGCUGUCGAGACGUGGCUGCACGGAGUGAGAAGGUGGGGUGGCCGCCAGGCAGCAGUGGGUCAGGGCCCGUGGCAGCAGGAACUGGCCGUCCUCAGAGCUUCUCUUCGGUCUGCUCCUUCACUCCCUGUCCUUGGACUUGGUGUGGACCUGGUGACUGUGCCUC